ACGGGUGAGUAACACGUAUGCAACCAACCCAUAACAGGGGGAUAACCCGGAGAAAUCCGGACUAAUACCGCAUAAGACCACGAUAUCGCAUGAUAUAGAGGUCAAAUAUUUAUAGGUUAUGGACGGGCAUGCGUCUGAUUAGCUGGUUGGCGGGUAACGCCCACCAAGGCAUCGAUCAGUAGGGUUCUGAGAGGAAGGUCCCCCACAUUGGAACUGAGACACGGUCCAAACUCCUACGGGAGGCAGCAGUGAGGAAUAUUGGUCAAUGGGCGAAAGCCUGAACCAGCCAUGUCGCGUGAAAGGAUGAAGGUCCUAUGGAUUGUAAACUUCUUUUGCAGGAGGGUAAAGUGAGCUACGUGUAGUUCAUUGCAAGUACCCUGCGAAUAAGCAUCGGCUAACUCCGUGCCAGCCGCCGC
rnacentral:rRNA from 1 species